rnacentral:rRNA from 1 species
AGCGAACGCUGGCGGCAGGCCUAACACAUGCAAGUCGAGCGGCCGUAGCAAUACGGCAGCGGCAGACGGGAUAGUAACACGUGGGAACGCGCCCUUCGGUUCGGAAUAACUCAGGGAAACUUGAGCUAAUACCGGAUACGCCCUUACGGGGAAAGAUUUAUUGCCGAAGGAACGGCCCGCGUCGGAUUAGCUAGUUGGUGAGGUAAUGGCUCACCAAGGCGACGAUCCGUAGCUGGUCUGAGAGGAUGACCAGCAUCACUGGGACUGAGACACGGCCCAGACUCCUACGGGAGGCAGCAGUGGGGAAUAUUGGACAAUGGGCGCAAGCCUGAUCCAGCCAUGCCGCGUGGAUGAUGAAGGCCCUAGGGUUGUAAAGUCCUUUUAACGGGGAAGAUAAUGACGGUACCCGUAGAAUAAGCCCCGGCUAACUCUGUGCCAGCCGCCGCGGUAA